rnacentral:rRNA from 1 species
CCUACGGGACGCACCAGUGGGGAAUAUUGGACAAUGGGCGAAAGCCUGAUCCAGCAAUGCCGCGUGUGUGAAGAAGGUCUUCGGAUUGUAAAGCACUUUCGACGGGGACGAUGUUGACGGUACCCGUAGAAGAAGCCCCGGCUAACUUCGUGCCAGCAGCCGCGGUAAUACGAAGGGGGCUAGCGUGGCUCGGAAUGACUGGGCGUAAAGGGCGCGUAGGCGGUUUAUGCAGUCAGAUGUGAAAUCCCCGGGCUUAACCUGGGAACUGCAUUUGAGACGCAUAGACUAGAGGUCGAGAGAGGGUUGUGGAAUUCCCAGCGUAGAGGUGAAAUUCGUAGAUAUUGGGAAGAACACCGGUGGCGAAGGCGGCAACCUGGCUCGAUACUGACGCUAAGGCGCGAAAGCGUGGGGAGCAAACAGGAUUAGAUACCCCGGUAGUC